AUACGGAGGAUGCAAGCGUUAUCCGGAUUUAUUGGGUUUAAAGGGUGCGUAGGCGGUUUGCUAAGCGGGAGGUGAAAUGCCGGCGCUCAACGUCGGAAGUGCCUCCCGAACUGGUGGACUUGAAUGACUCUGCCGUGGGAGGAAUGUGUAGUGUAGCGGUGAAAUGCUUAGAGAUUACACAGAACACCGAUUGCGAAGGCAUCUCACGAAGGGUUGAUUGACGCUGAGGCACGAAAGCGUGGGGAUCAAACAGGAUUAGAUACCCUGGUAGUCCACGCAGUAAACGAUGAUGGCUAACCGCUGGGCUUAUCAGUUCAGUGGCCAAGCGAAAGCGAUAAGCCAUCCACCCGGGGAGUACAACCGCAAGGUUGAAACUCAAAUGAAUUGACGGGG
rnacentral:rRNA from 1 species